CUGGCGGCGUGCUUAACACAUGCAAGUCGACCGGAAAGGCCCUGCUUUUGUGGGGUGCUCGAGUGGCGAACGGGUGAGUAACACGUGAGUAACCUGCCCUUGACUUUGGGAUAACUUCAGGAAACUGGGGCUAAUACCGGAUAGGAGCUCCUGCUGCAUGGUGGGGGUUGGAAAGUUUCGGCGGUUGGGGAUGGACUCGCGGCUUAUCAGCUUGUUGGUGGGGUAGUGGCUUACCAAGGCUUUGACGGGUAGCCGGCCUGAGAGGGUGACCGGCCACAUUGGGACUGAGAUACGGCCCAGACUCCUACGGGAGGCAGCAGUGGGGAAUAUUGCACAAUGGGCGGAAGCCUGAUGCAGCAACGCCGCGUGCGGGAUGACGGCCUUCGGGUUGUAAACCGCUUUCGCCUGUGACGAAGCGUGAGUGACGGUAAUGGGUAAAGAAGCACCGGCUAACUACGUG
rnacentral:rRNA from 1 species